UCACGCAAGGGCAAAACAUAACGAAUAACACUUAAACACCAUUUUACCAAGCUAUUGGAUGCUCUGUUAUCUAGAGAUAUAUACCUCUGCACUCCAUCGGUGUCCUCUAAGUAAAGUGUGGCACCAUGCACACGAAAUGAACGAAAGGUACCCUCAAUAGGCAAAGAUGGCGACAUUGGAGACUCGAGACUCACCUUCCCCUUUGAAGACAGAACAACAAUUUUUUGCAAAUGCUUAGAUUUAAUAGCACUCAAAUUUAUUGCAUGUAGUUGAAGCGAAUCUAAGAAGUAAGGAGAUCUGUCACGAACAAGGCGAAACAACAUCAUGUAGCCUUUUUCAAGCUCUUUCACUAAAGUGGUGAUGACCAAAACACCAUUUCCAAGGAUUGAAUCAAACGAAGUACUUCCGGUGAUAGGAAAAGACUCUAUGUGAGAAAAUAUGGUCGAAUAAGCGAGUCCUUGUUCCUCGAAUUUUUCAGAAAGACGAGUAUUGGCGGUAUAAUGGAUAGAAUCAGAGCGAGUUAAGUCAGGAUUCUUUUCACGAGAAAAAGAGCUUUCCCUUCUUCUGUUACGUGAGCUUUUUAUUGACUGGUCUGACUCUGGAUCAAUAAAGCGACUCCUCCAAAAACUCAAUUUUUUUUCUUUUUUAUUAUGUGUUACGACGAUCUCUCCCACGACAUAAACGAUUGAAUCAAACAGAGAUAGUAUUUUUUUUCCGUCAAAUUUUAUUAACGUAAGUUCAUCUAAAGGAUCGUUUAGACAAAAAAUAUGAGGCAAGUCAGUAUUCAGAUUCUCAUCGCUCGAACGAUGACGCUGAAGAUAUAGUCCACUUGGUGAACUCCAUGCGCUUUCUGUUGAAAAAGGAACGUUUAUAAUAUAAGAAUCAUUAUUAUUGUCGCCCACAUAGUAUACAUAUCCAAUGUCGUCCAGAAUCACAACAAUUGCCUUUUUUCCAGAUGCAAAUGUAGUAAUAAGGGCAGCAUGUAUCUUUUGUUGAUCUACGGUAUAAUUAAAUACA